rnacentral:tRNA from 1 species
GCGAAAGUGGCGGAAUUGGCAGACGCGCUGGACUUAGAAUCCAGUUCUGGAAACAGAGUAGGGGUUCAAGUCCCCUCUUUCGCACCA